GCAGUCGAACGGUGAUCUCGGUGCUUGCACCGGGUGAUCAGUGGCGAACGGGUGAGUAACACGUGAGCAACCUGCCCCUGACUCUGGGAUAACCCCGAGAAAUCGGAGCUAAUACCGGAUACGAGACGCACGGGCAUCCGUAGCGUCUGGAAAGAAUUUUGGUCAGGGAUGGGCUCGCGGCCUAUCAGCUUGUUGGUGGGGUAACGGCCCACCAAGGCGACGACGGGUAGCCGGCCUGAGAGGGCGACCGGCCACACUGGGACUGAGACACGGCCCAGACUCCUACGGGAGGCAGCAGUGGGGAAUAUUGCACAAUGGGCGAAAGCCUGAUGCAGCGACGCCGCGUGGGGGAUGAAGGCCUUCGGGUUGUAAACCCCUUUCAGCAGGGAAGAAGCGAAAGUGACGGUACCUGCAGAAGAAGCGCCGGCUAACUACGUGCCAGCAGCCGCGGUAAUACGUAGGGCGCAAGCGUUGUCCGGAAUUAUUGGGCGUAAAGAGCUCGUAGGCGGUUUGUCGCGUCUGCUGUGAAAACCCGAGGCUCAACCUCGGGCCUGCAGUGGGUACGGGCAGACUAGAGUGCGGUAGGGGAGACUGGAAUUCCUGGUGUAGCGGUGGAAUGCGCAGAUAUCAGGAGGAACACCGAUGGCGAAGGCAGGUCUCUGGGCCGCAACUGACGCUGAGGAGCGAAAGCAUGGGGAGCGAACAGGAUUAGAUACCCUGGUAGUCCAUGCCGUAAACGUUGGGCACUAGGUGUGGGGCUCAUUCCACGAGUUCCGUGCCGCAGCAAACGCAUUAAGUGCCCCGCCUGGGGAGUACGGCCGCAAGGCUAAAACUCAAAGGAAUUGACGGGGGCCCGCACAAGCGGCGGAGCAUGCGGAUUAAUUCGAUGCAACGCGAAGAACCUUACCAAGGCUUGACAUACACCGGAAACGUCCAGAGAUGGGUGCCCCGCAAGGUCGGUGUACAGGUGGUGCAUGGUUGUCGUCAGCUCGUGUCGUGA
rnacentral:rRNA from 1 species